rnacentral:miRNA from 1 species
UAUUUUUUUGUUUCGUGUUU